rnacentral:ncRNA from 1 species
AACGAUAGAGGCGCGGGUUUGAUCAGUACUUCAUUUCAGUCCUGCCGCGGGCGAUACGGAAUGUUUUAGGAAAGGCAAAACCGCCGAAGGGGGCUUCUGGCAAGAGUCCUCUGGGGGUCGCUGUGAACAGCGCGGCAACUGUCAUCAUUCAAUAUGAUGGAGUGCUAUCGGU